GGCAGGGGCACAGCUGGUGUGCAAAGAGGUGGGAGACGGGCUGGAAUGGCCUUGGAAGCUACAGUCAGAUGGCUGCUGGGUGGAGGAUGAAAAGGGAAAGAGAGGAGCCCAUUCAGAGGCCACCGUGUCACCCAGGUCUAUUCCCCAACCAGCUGGUGCUUCACGAGGGCAGAUGCUAUUUUUACAUCUUUGUGUUUCCACACAAAAGCCAAUUUGUUCCGAACAUAGUCAGUGAGCACCAACGGUGCUCCUUGAGCACUGCGCUCGGUCUUGAUCUAUGGCUGAGCCCACACUUCCGGUGGCCCUGACUGCAAAUGAAGCUCUGGGCACGCUCUGCCACCCAUCUGCCCUGUGACUUCCGGCGCUCACUGAUGGCAGCGAUGAACUGGCGGAAGUGCGAGAAGGGGAAGAGGGGCUCCGGCAGCUCUCGAAAGAAGAGCUUCAGGGCUCCGGUGAUCACGUGCACGUCCUCCCAGCGCCCGUCGUCCAGGUCCAGGCGCUCAUCUGCGGCAAAGGGGGGAAAGGGGGUGGGAAGAGGUGGUCAGCGCCCCCUUGGUGCCUUCAGGCCCUGGGCUUAGCGGCGGGAGCCGGGCCUCACCGUGGUCCACCUUAUAGCGCAGCUUCUGGAUGGUGGCCAGGUUUCCACUGAUGCGGUACAGGCCGUCGAUGUCCAGCCCUGGGGCAGAGGGAGGCGCUGACCUCGGGCUCGGUGGGGGUGGGUCCAAAGCUCCCGCGGAGAUUCCCACUCAGGGGCUCCCGUUCUCCCGCACCCCCACCGCCGCCCCCGCGCCCACCCGGGGAGGUGUCCAGGCGCCGCGCGUACCCCGAGCCUCCACCGUGCGGAUGCACUGCUGCACGAAGCGCGGCACGGAGCUCCUCUCGCGCUCACACAGCGCGGCCAGCGGGCAGCCGAACACCUGGUCUGGGGGAGAGGCUGGUCAGCGCCGCCCCGCCCCGGGCCCCCGGCGCCGCGCUCCGGCUCCCUCCGAUACCUUUGAUGUAGCCCUUCUCCCGCAGCGACUGCAGCGUGGGCCGCUUCAGCAGGAACUUGCGGAGCCUGUGCCGGACCUUGCUCAGGUCGCCCUCCGCGGCGGCUGCGCCUGGGCCAGGGCAAUGCGGGACUGAGUCACUCGCCCGCGCCGGGUCAACCCCCGGGUGCCCC